GACGAACGCUGGCGGCGUGCUUAACACAUGCAAGUCGAACGGAAAGGCCCUGCUUUUGUGGGGUGCUCGAGUGGCGAACGGGUGAGUAACACGUGAGUAACCUGCCCUUGACUUUGGGAUAACUUCAGGAAACUGGGGCUAAUACCGGAUAGGAGCUCCUGCUGCAUGGUGGGGGUUGGAAAGUUUCGGCGGUUGGGGAUGGACUCGCGGCUUAUCAGCUUGUUGGGGGGGUAGUGGCUUACCAAGGCUUUGACGGGUAGCCGGCCUGAGAGGGUGACCGGCAACAUGGGGACUGAGAUACGGCCCAGACUCCUCCGGGAGGCAGCAGUGGGGAAUAUUGCACAAUGGGCGGAAGCCUGAUGCAGCAACGCCGCGUGCGGGAUGACGGCCUUCGGGUUGUAACCCGCUUUCGCCUGUGACGAAGCGUGAGUGACGGUAAUGGGUAAAGAAGCACCGGCUAACUACGUG
rnacentral:rRNA from 1 species